rnacentral:rRNA from 1 species
GACGAACGCUGGCGGCGUGCUUAACACAUGCAAGUCGAACGGAAAGGCCUGCUUUCCCUUGUGGAUUGCGGGUACUCGAGUGGCGAACGGGUGAGUAACACGUGAGUGAUCUGCCCCCAACUUGGGUAUAAGCCUGGGAAACUGGGUCUAAUUCCCGAUAGGACUGCAGGGUGGUGCCUGUGGUGGAAAACGAUGUUCUAGUGGUUGGGGAUGAGCUCGCGGCCUAUCAGCUUGUUGGUGGGGUAAUGGCCUACCAAGGCGGCGACGGGUAGCCGGCCUGAGAGGGUGGACGGCCACAUUGGGACUGGGAUACGGCCCAGACUCCUACGGGAGGCAGCAGUGGGGAAUAUUGCACAAUGGGCGGAAGCCUGAUGCAGCGACGCCGCGUGGGGGAUGACGGCCUUCGGGUUGUAAACUCCUUUCGACCGCGAGGAAGCCACCUGGUUGGAAGGGUGGUGACGGUAGUGGUAGAAGAAGCACCGGCUAACUACGUG